AUCCAUGCACAAUAGCUCAGUUGGUAGAGCAUGAGGCCCUUAAUCUCACGGUUGUGGGUAUGAGCCCCACGUUGGACG